CCUCUGGGCAGGCCCGACGAGAGGGCGGUACAGCCGGUACAAAUUACCGGGGCCCGGGCUCAUGGGGGGCCCGGGCUCGAGCUCCAGCAACAAGAAUUUUUUCAUUGAUAUUUAUAAUUACAUAAAAAAAAUGGAACUGAUGAAGAUUGUGUGAUUCCUUUCAAUCUUAUAAAACAACAAUGUAAACAUUCAAGAUUGUCCAUGCUAUUAGAUAGCCUACAUAGGCAAUCUUGAAUACAUAAAUCAGUACAACAUUGCCUAAAGUAUUGACCCGCUUCAGCUCUACGCUCUGGUCACGUUCCCGCCCCUAUCGUCAAUUCAACGUAGAUCGUUUCGUUUACUGAAUUUUCGGGGAAUCCCUGACCUGAUCGAUGUUCAUUGUCAUUGUUGUCAACCGAAUUCGUUGCUUGCUAUUCUAUUAGUGAAUAUUUCUCCGAGUUCAUAAUCAUAUUGAUUGGAUAUUGGAUUAUCGUUAGUGUGUUUUGUGAAGUACGUUGUUUGGAAUAAUCUGAAUGAAGAUGAGUUAUCAUCAUAAAUCUGGCUCCCAAAAACGUAAAGAGCAACAGCAGAAGUUGGAGCACAUGAGAAAAGGAAGAAGAACUCUUGAAAACCUUGGGUUUACUACCUCAAAAGUAACUCCAGGCAUUUCAAAAGUGAAUGAAACCUGUGAUGAAGUUUCAGAAACCUCCAAUAUAUCAUCGCCUGGUCCUGUACCUUCACCUUCAAGCCCCAUUUCCAGUAGUUCUGUUGGGCAAAAUGAUGAUCUCCUACGAAGUGGAAUCAUUUCAAACGCAGUUAAAGUUGAUAGCAAUCAAGAUAAAUAUGAAUAUCGAUAGUGGAGUACACUUCGAUAUAGGAAAUUUGAGAAACGUUACUCCCGUCAUUAUUGAAGAAGCUGUGAGAAAAGGACCUGAACCCAUUCCAUCACAACUUCCUCCUGAUAGCAACGGAAUGCCAUUUCCCAAAUAUCUAUUAAAUUUAAACAUGAAAAAUGGGGAGGUUGUAUCAAGAGACUGGCUAACUUCCUCGAGGCAAGCACUGUUCUGUUUUCCCUGUAGGUUAUUCAAUAAAGCAACAAGGUCACAACAUUCUUCUCGGUUUGUAACUGAAUAUGGUUGGAGUCCUACAAAUUUCUACAGAAAAUUGUAUAACAGAAUUCCUGAACAUGAAAAUAGUAUCGGUCAUCGAUCAUCAUACCUAGAGUGGCGGGGUAUAGAACAAAAUAUUUUCAAUAAAAAGAAUAUCGAUAACUUAGUAUUGAAAUCUUUAGAAAAAGAGAAAGAGAAGUGGAAAGAACUAUUGCAAAGAUUUCUUCAAGUGAUUCUAUUUUUAUCUGAAAGAGGACUAGCAUUAAGAGGAUCAUCUAGUUUGAUUGGUAAUCCAAACAAUGGCAAUUUUCUUGGUACAUUGGAGUUGCUAGCAAAUUAUGAUACCAUAUUAGAAGAGCAUCUAGAUGCUGUUAAAGAUUCUCAAGAAACUAAGAAACGUAUGCAAGUACACUAUCUCUCAGCCGAAAUUCAAAAUGAAUUCAUUUCACUUUGUGCUGAACAUGUUAUGGAAAAAAUUUUAAACGAGAGAAAGCUGGCGAAAUAUUUUUCUUUAAUCGUCGAUGCUACCCUUGAUAGUUCUCAUGACGAACAAACAACGUUUAUAUUACGUUAUGUCUGGCUGAAUGAAGAUGGCAAAUACCAAGUGUUUGAAAGAUUUUUAGAAUUCAUCAACUGUAAUAAAAAAACUGGGGAAGAUAUAGCAAACAUGAUUUUAGAAAAUUUGAAAAAGCGCAAUAUUAGCAUAGAAGAUUGCCGUGGACAAGGAUAUGACAAUGGAAGCAACAUGAGCGGACAAUAUAAAGGCGUGCAGGCAAGGAUCCUGGCCCUCAAUCCCCUUGCCAUAUGGUCUCCUUGUGCUUGUCAUAGUUUGAACUUAUGUGGUGUCCAUGCAGCAGAAUGUUGUCCCCAGGCUGUUACAUUUUUUGGAAUAAUCCAAAAGCUGUACAAUAUAUUUAGUGCUAGUCCUUCCAAGUGGGAGAUUUUAAAAAAUAAAAUAGAUGUAUCCCUGCAUUCUCUUUCUACAACUCGCUGGUCAGCUAGAGUAGAAAGUGUCAAACCGGUCUGCAACAAGUUGCCCGGAAUAAAGGAUGCAAUUCUAGAGGUAUUUGAGCUCAAUUUGACAUCAGAAGUGCGAGUUGAAUUGAAUGGUAUUUUAUCAUAUUUGGGAUCAUUUGAAUGUCUCUUAAUGGCUUCAACGUGGCUGAAAGUACUUACAGCUAUCAACUAUAGAAGUGUUAUUCUUCAAACGGAAUCCAUAACUUUGGACAUUGGAACCGAAAAUUUGAAGUCUUUGCUGGAAGAUCUUAAUAUUAUAAGAAAUAGUUGGUCGAAAAUAUUGAAUGAAUGUAGAGAAGUAGCAAAAAAUUUAGAAAUGUCAACCGAAAUGCCUACGUCCGUGAAGAGGAAACGCAAAAGAAAGCAAUUUUUUGACGAAACGAAUUCAGAACAGGAUUUUUCAUCAGAACUUAGUGGGGAGGAUUACUUCAGAAUAAAUGUAUUUUAUUCAAUUCUAGAUGCUGUUAUUUUGAAUAUUUCUACAAGAUUCCAAGCAAUUAAAAAUAUUGUGCAUAUGUUCAGUGUCUUAUGGAAAUUUUUACACUUAGAAGAUGCAGACAUUGAAGAGAGGGCCACUAAUCUCCAAAUUCAGUACCACUUAGAUACUGAUUGUAAAUUAACAGAAGAGAUCAAGCACCUCAAGGUUAUCUUUUCUGCUACUUUUCAAAUGAAUGAUCUUACCCCACUAAAUCUUCUGAAUGAAAUUCACAAAUUAAAAUUGGAUACCUUGUUUCCAAAUAUUGUGAUAUCCUUAAGAAUAUUUUGCACUUUGCCUGUGACUGUAGCCCAAGCUGAAAGGUCUUUCAGCCACCUUUCAAAAAUUAAAAAUGUUCUUAGAUCUACCAUGACUCAGGGACGAUUGAGUGCUCUAGGCUUAUUAUCGAUCGAGUCAAGAGUAGCUAGAAGAUGCGAUUUUUCUAAAAUUAUAGCAAAUUUUGCUACUGCAAAAUGCCGAAAGGCUCACAUAAAAUGAUUCGUGUUUUUUGUAGCGGUCUUCGAAGUAAUUUUUACCUAAUUUUUUCAGUAUUUAGUGCAGCUGUGUUUCUCAACUCUUUAUAGUAUAUACUUAGUAAGCCAAUUCAUGUUUCUGGAAGGUUCUAAUUCCAAUAAUUUUACUUGCAUAAAGCAGUAUAAAGUCCAUAAGGCAUAUAUCCUAAUCUUAUUAUACCGAUUAUACGGUUAAGUAACACCAUCGGGGGGCCCGUAUUUUUGGUUUGUACCGGGGCCCGCCGAAGCUCUCGACGGCCCUGCCUCUGGGGCUAGGAUUCUAUGAUUAUAUGAUUGCCUGCACUAGCGCAGCUAGGGGUUGUGACGGCGAGUUUCUCCGGAUAGUGGAUUGUAUACUCUUUUAUUUCAAUAUUCCCUCGGGCGCCAAUUGCGAUAGGUCUUGUAAGGUCGCAAUUCUCUACGUCGCUCACUAUUAUUGACCCUGGGUAGCUUUUAAACAGUCGGAGAAGGGUUAGAUUCAAUCUGAGAUAAGAGCGAUUGACCAGUGAUGAUUUAUUUCAUUGAAAAUGGCAGUAACUAUGUCUAUUGUCUAUGAAACAAAUAAAAGACACUGAGGAAACACACUAUAUUUAACACUAUUCGUUCUCCCAUUUAAAACAACAGAUUAUACAGGGUGUACGUUUAAAACGGACUAACUUCAAGGGGAGAUUAUACAACAAAAACUGUCAUAUAACACAUGGACGAAAUGUUGGUGGUUUUUCUUCAUUUUAACAUUUUUUGAUUUCAUGGAAUUUAUCACUUCUUUCCAUUAAACCAAUUAUAUCUUAUUCAUUUCUGCGUUCUC